GCAAACUCUCCUCUCAAACUCCAUCUUCUGGAGCAGGGCAGUGAGCUGCGCCGCACCCUCUUUCCCGCUUGCUACCUCUGAGCGGCUGCGGAUGGUGAGGCUUAGGCGGCCAACACAGGCAGCAAGUGGCGCUUAGCACUGAGCACCCAGCCAAUGCUGUUGUGCCUCUUUCCUUCAGGAGGCGGCGGUGCAGAGCCUAAGCCCGAGCCCGAGCCCCAACACGAGCCAGAGCCCCAGCCCGAGCCGAGCCCAAGCAGGAGCUCAAGAUCAAGCUGGAGUCCAAGCCCCAACCGGAGCCCAAGCCCGAGCCCAAUCGGAGCCCGAGCCGGAGCCAGAGCCCGAGCCGAGAUGGGUCUCGCCUUUCUUGGAAGCCUUUUGAGUCAGCAGGCGACGUCGCCCGAGGCUCCGCCUCCGCUCCUCCCCAAGCAAAGUAACAAAGUAACUGAGGAGCAGCCUCUGCCGAGUGAGCAGAGCUGCGGCUGUGGGCAGCCAGCCGCACAGAAGACCCUUUGGGCCCCGAGGUAGUUUGGUUUCUUUGAAGAGGAAAGAGGGGUUGGCGGGCAGCUGUGGAGGCUCCGCCCUGAGCCUGCGAGGCCCAGCUUGCUACUCCCUGGUGGAUUCCACAGCCACCACCACCCCCCCACCCCACCCCCACCCCCGCAACUCUUUGCAAAGCUGCUUGAAAAGUCUCCACAUGGAUUUGGUGGCAGCGGCGGCGGCACUGUCUGCUUUUGUGGCGCUCUUGUUUCUCUCCCUUUGGCCUCUUCUGGGGCCAGACCAAGGCCAGUUCUCUGCAGCUGAGUGUCCCUGGUGGCUUGCGGGUGGGUUGGGCGUCCGGCGCCCCGACGAAUGACCCCAGCCCCAGCCCCGGGAUUGUGCGAUGUGGAGCUGGCUCCUUGUCUGGGCGGGGAGCAAGGAUUUGGGGAAACUUUCGCGGCCCUCUGAGGUGAGGUGGUCACAGGGUAGAAGAAGAGAUGACCUGGAGUUUGUGUCACAUGGGACGCAGGACACUGAGCUGGGCUCCACUUGGCGCAGAUUUAUAUUUAGAUUUAAAAAGGCAUGUGGAGCUGAAGAUGGAUCAGGCUUUGCUACUCAUCCAUAAUGAACUACUGGGAACAAACUUGAGUCUUUAAUGGAAAUCGGAACGCUGUUACCGUGCUGGAAUACAAAAUUUGGAGAAUUUGGAAACUAUUCUGUCUUGGUAAAGGACUCUUACAAUGGAGUUGAUGAAAUUUUGUGUGACCUAGUUGUUAAUAAGAAUCCAGUUGACAGUGACCUUCGUAUGUAUAUACUCUUUGUUGAUUUUUUUUUAAUUUGCAUUUUCAGAGCUUUUAGUUUCUGAGUAAUCUUUGUAAAGUGAAGCAGUCUAUGGCAUGUAAAUGGAAACCUGGUUUACAGAUAUCUAGACCAUUUAGUUACAGUAUAGUUAUAUUUUUCUUUGAUGCUAAAAAUAGAAGAGGACUUGUGUAUGCUAGUAAACCCUCUACCACCGAGUUAUAUCCCCAAGCCCAAUUGUAAACCUUCAAUUGUGUCAUUGAUGUACACUAAGAAAAUUAGGUGAUAUAUUAAAAAUUGUAUAAUAUGUUAACACAUCCCCAUAUCAUUGUUAAGCUUAAUUACGAACAUAAAUAAAACAAAAAAGUUAAUUCAAUAGAAAGAAAUAAGAAAUAAGAUAAAGGGCUUUCCUUGUUUUAGGAUUUAGGGUAUAGUGCUUCCUGUAUAUAUCUCCUGAUGUGAGCCUAGAGGACCCCUUACAUUAGAAGGGAUCCCAGAGAUUCCUUUACAUUAAGAAGCAAUCAUUCAUUCUAUAGUAAUUCUAUUGAAGAAAAUCUGUCAUCCUGAGCUCCCCUUAGAUAAUUGUUAUCCUGUCUUCCAAGAAACAGUAAUGAAUCCUGGUGGCACUAAUAUAUACUGUUCACAGAGAACUAUUGGAGACCAAACUGAAAAAGAAUAUAGAAGACAAUAUGAAAGGGCCAAUGUGGGACAAUUUUAAGCAUUAAAAAUAAAAACAAAUGUUAUUGAUGAAAAAUAAUGGAUACAUAAAAACUAUGGGGUCAUUAUCCCUCCCCAAUUAAAAACAAAAACAAAGUAAUGCUUUGGUUGUCUUUAGAGGUAACUAAGGCACUUGACGUUGACUAGGGUGAUUAAAAAUAUCAGUUGAAAAGACAGAUUUAAACAGUAUCCUAUUUUAACUGUAAUUGAAAAAGAUAAUUAAA